AAUCUUCUAUUUUUUUUCUCUACUAUAAUCUGCUUGACUUUUCAUUCUAAGUACUAGCCUUGACAGGACCCGACCCAAAUUCCACUUUGGAAUUCGAGCCGAACCCUGUCGAGCACAAAUGACCUAAUUGCCUUUUUAAUAAAAUUUCAGUUUAAAAACAAACUUGACUUCUACCGAAAAUUAGGCAGAAUCUCCCCUGUAAUCUGAUCAAUUCCCAAAUUUUUACAUGUCAAAAUAAGCAUAUAUAUACAAUCCAACUACCAGC
rnacentral:lncRNA from 1 species